UUUCAUAUUGUUGAGUUCAGGUCAGGGCGGCUUUCAUGUUCUUUUAAUUAAACUUUGGGACAUUGAAAUUGGCAAAUAAAUGAUUGGGUAGAGAGUAUUACUCUGUUCAUAUAUUUCUUUCCUAUUCUA